rnacentral:rRNA from 1 species
UGGGGAAUAUUGGGCAAUGGGGGAAACCCUGACCCAGCAACGCCGCGUGGGGGAAGAAGGCCUUCGGGUUGUAACCUCUGUCCUUGGGGACGAAGAAAUGACUGUACCCAAGGAGGAAGCUCCGGCUAACUACGUGCCAGCAGCCGCGGUAAUACGUAGGGAGCGAGCGUUGUCCGGAAUUACUGGGCGUAAAGGGUGCGUAGGCGGCGUCCUAAGUUUAUUGUGAAAUCCCCGGGCUUAACUUGGGGCUUGCAGUAAAAACUGGGAUGCUAGAGUACAGGAGAGGUAAGUGGAUUCCUAGUGUAGCGGUGGAAUGCGUAGAUAUUAGGAGGAACACCAGUGGCGAAGGCGACUUACUGGACUGAAACUGACGCUGAGGCACGAAAGUGUGGGGAGCAAACAGGAUUAGAUACCCUGGUAGU